GAUGAUGGUAUUAUUUUCUCUCUUUGGGGACAAGGCUGACUGUCCCUUGCCUCUGUGUGGAGAUUAAUAAUUGAUGAGUUCCUAGUUAGGAGCAUUUGUAAAGGCGACCGGCAGCUGUCUGGCCCUGUCCUUUGCACGGUGGCCCGCAGAUGAGAGGAGGUGCAGCAGAACUCCCGGGACACAGCACAGCAUGAAGAGCGUCCUAGUACUCCUGCUGGCCUUAGCACUGGGGCACGCUCUCGAGCGAGGCCGAGACUAUGAAAAGGAUAAAGUUUGCAAGGAACUCGCCAUGCUGGGGAAAGAUGACUUCAGAUCUUUAUCACUAAUCCUAUACAGCAAGAAGUUUUCCAGUGGCACAUUUGAACAGAUCAGCCAGCUGGUGAAGGAAGUUGUUGCCUUAACUGAAGAGUGUUGUGCCGAGGGGGCUGAUCCCAACUGCUAUGACACCAGGACCUCAGAGCUGUCCACCAAGUCCUGCGAAAGCGAUGCCCCCUUUCCUGUUCACCCUGGAACUCCUGAGUGUUGCACCAAAGAGGGCCUGGAGCGGAAACUCUGCAUGGCUGCCCUCAGUCACCAGCCACAGGAAUUUCCCACUUACGUGGAACCAACAAAUGAAGAGAUCUGUGAGGCAUUCAGGAAAGAUCCAAAGGGAUUUGCUGAUCAAUUUCUAUACGAAUAUUCCAGUAAUUACGGACAAGCUCCUCUGCCACUUUUAAUCGGUUACACCAAGAGUUAUCUCUCUAUGGUAGGAUCCUGCUGUACUUCUGCGAGCCCAACUGUGUGCUUUUUGAAGGAGAGGCUCCAGAUUAAAGAAUUGUCAGUUCUCACCACUAUGUCGAACAGAGUCUGUUCCCAAUAUGCUGCGUAUGGAAAGGAGAAAUCCAGGCUGAGCCAUCUCAUUAAACUAGCCCAAAAAGUGCCAACUGCCAAUCUGGAGGCUGUUCUGCCACUAGCUGAAGAUCUUACUCAAAUCCUGUCCAGAUGUUGUGAGUCCACCUCCGAGGACUGCAUGGCCAAAGAGCUGCCCGAACACACGUUAAAAAUCUGUGACAACUUGUCCGCAAAGAAUUCUAAGUUUGAAGAGUGCUGUCAGGAGAAAACACCCAUGAACAUUUUUAUGUGCACUUACUUCAUGCCAGCGGCUGAACCAGUUCAAUCGCCAGCCAUCAAGUUGCCCACAAAGACAGACCUGUGUGGUCAGCGUGCCACUCAAGUCAUGGAUAAGUAUACAUUUGAACUAAGCAGAAGUACUCAGUUGCCAGAAGUAUUCCUCAGCAAAGUGCUGGAGACCACCCUGAAGUCUCUCAGGGAAUGCUGCGAAACCCAGGACUCCGCGGCCUGUUUCAGCACUCAGAGUCCCCUGUUGAAGAAGCAACUUACUUCUUUCAUUGAAAGGGGGCAAGAAAUGUGUGCAGAUUAUUCUGAGAACACAUUUACUGAGUACAAGAAAAAACUUGCAGAGCGACUGAGGACAAAAACACCCAAUGCCUCUGCAGGGGAGCUGGAGGACAUGGUGGACAAGCGCUCAGACUUCGCCUCCAAGUGCUGCUCCACAAACUCACCUCCCCUCUACUGCAGCUUGCAGAUUGAUGCUGAAAUGAAGGACAUCCUGCAGUCCUGAUGCAGUGCAUAUGUACUGUCUGGGUUGAGCAUACUAAGCCUGGAGGAAAGCUUCAGUGCUCACAGAAAUACACAGACCUGGAACCGGACCACCCUGGAAAACAGUCACUGGUAGCCAAAUCUGAGUCAAGCCACUGAGCUUCCAGGAAGACCACCAAGCUACAAUGAUUGUGAUGAAUAAAAAUAAAUAAAUUGAAAUAUAGUUUAUAUCCCAAGCACAA